UACGGAGGGUGCGAGCGUUGUCCGGAAUCACUGGGCGUAAAGGGCGCGUAGGUGGCUUUCAAGCGCGCGGUGAAAGCCCGGGCUCAACCCCGGGUCGGCCGUGCGGACUGGGAGGCUUGAGCACUGUAGGGGCGGGUGGAAGUUCCGGGUGUAGCGGUGGAAUGCGUAGAGAUCCGGAAGAACACCGGUGGCGAAGGCGGCCCGCUGGGCAGGAAGGCUCGCAAGAGCCGGCUGACACUGAGGCGCGACAGCGUGGGGAGCAAACAGG
rnacentral:rRNA from 1 species